CGGGAUGUAGAAAAUGGAGGAAUUUCAGAUAGACCAGAUGAUGCAGUUGAUGUCUACCACACAUACUUUGGUGUAGCUGGACUUUCACUUCUUGAAUAUCCAGGAUUGAAAGCCAUAGAUCCAGCCUAUGCUUUGCCGGUUGAUGUUGUAAAUAGAAUUUUCUUGGGCAAAUAAUGAUCCUAAAGAACAACUUAUGAUUCUAAUUAUAACUGAACUCAUUGUUUUCUCUUUUAUAGGAAAUAAAGAAAAUAAUAUAUCUUUAUAUUGAAGUAGAAAUAUAUUGUUAAAGGGAUAAUGCUUUGGACAUUGUUUUGAAUCAAAUGCAGUCUCGUGAUCGUGGUCA